GGAAGGGAGCUUCAGCUUUGAUAUGACCUCGUUAUUUCCCAGCAAAGGCUUAUCUGCUUGAGUUGUUCAGAUACAAACUGCUGGAGGAACACACCGAGGAGGAUCCACCAAGGCCUGGAGCAAAAAGUGGCAGGAGUGGAAACAAAAACAACCCAUUAAAAUCUCUAUAGGACCAAGCCAUCAUUCCCAUUUGGAAUUCUAUAUGCGGUCCCAUCAGAAUUGAGUUCAAGAGGUUAUGUUGGAAUCUUGUCACUUCAAACAGCAAGCCUUCUGAGAUCAGGUAUGGGCUUUGCCUCAGGACCAGUAAAGUCAAGGUUAAUGUGACGGAAAGAUUCUCAACCUUGAAGGAGGAUGCUCUUGAGUCCUGCUCAGGACUGGUCCACAGAGAAUAGUGAAGGAGUCACUGGCUCUCCUCCCUGCAUCCCUCCAAAGUGCAUACAUAGCCAGAAGCCCCAUACGCAGCCUGGACAAGUAGCAGAGGAGAAAGCAAUGAACUA